rnacentral:rRNA from 1 species
UACGUAGGGGGCGAGCGUUGUCCGGAAUUACUGGGCGUAAAGCGUGCGUAGGUGGUCUGUUAAGUCUGAUGUGAAAGCCCUGGGCUCAACCUGGGAAUUGCAGUCGAGACUGCUCGGCUAGAGUGUGGGAGAGGGUGGUGGAAUUUCCGGUGUAGCGGUGAAAUGCGUAGAUAUCGGAAGAACAUCAGUGGCGAAAGCGGCUUCCUGGACCAGCACCGACGUCAGGCACGAAAGCGUGGGGAGCAAGCAGG